rnacentral:rRNA from 1 species
GGCGAACGGGUGCGUAAUACGUGAGAAUCUGCCCUUAGGAGAAGAAUAACUGCUGGAAACGGCUGCUAAAUCUUCAUAUGUCGAGAGAUGAAAUAGCUUAGGCUGCCUAAGGAUGAGCUCACGCCUGAUUAGCUAGUUGGUGAGGUAAUGGCUCACCAAGGCCACGAUCAGUAGCUGGUUUGAGAGAACGAUCAGCCACACUGGGACUGAGACACGGCCCAGACUCCUCCGGGAGGCAGCAGUGAGGAAUUUUCCGCAAUGGGCGAAAGCCUGACGGAGCAAUACCGCGUGAGGGAUGAAGGAUUUUGGUCUGUAAACCUCUUUUCUCAAGAAAGAAGUUCUGACGGUACUUGAGGAAUAAGCAUCGGCUAACUCCGUGCCAGCAGCCGCGGUAAUACGGGGGAUGCAAGCGUUAUCCGGAAUCAUUGGGCGUAAAGCGCCUGUAGGUUGUUUAAUAAGUCUGUUGUUAAAGACUAGGGCUUAACCCUAGAAAAGCAAUGGAAACUACUAGACUAGAGUAUGGCAGGGG